rnacentral:rRNA from 1 species
UGGGGAAUAUUGGACAAUGGGCGAAAGCCUGAUCCAGCGACGCCGCGUGAGCGAUGAAGUAUUUCGGUAUGUAAAGCUCUAUCAGCAGGGAAGAAAACGACGGUACCUGACUAAGAAGCCCCGGCUAACUACGUGCCAGCAGCCGCGGUAAUACGUAGGGGGCAAGCGUUAUCCGGAUUUACUGGGUGUAAAGGGAGCGUAGACGGUGUGGCAAGUCUGAUGUGAAAGGCAUGGGCUCAACCCGUGGACUGCAUUGGAAACUGUCAUACUUGAGUGCCGGAGGGGUAAGCGGAAUUCCUAGUGUAGCGGUGAAAUGCGUAGAUAUUAGGAGGAACACCAGUGGCGAAGGCGGCCUACUGGGCACCAACUGACGCUGAGGCUCGAAAGUGUGGGUAGCAAACAGGAUUAGAUACCCUGGUAGUCCACACUGUAAACGAUGAUUACUAGGUGUUGGAGGAUUGACCCCUUCAGUGCCGCAGUUAACACAAUAAGUAAUCCACCUGGGGAGUACGACCGCAAGGUUGAAACUCAAAGGAAUUGACGGGGGCCCGCACAAGCAGUGGAGUAUGUGGUUUAAUUCGAAGCAACGCGAAGAACCUUACCAAGUCUUGACAUCCCGGUGACAGAACAUGUAAUGUGUUUUCCCUUCGGGGCACCGGUGACAGGUGGUGCAUGGUUGUCGUCAGCUCGUGUCGUGAGAUGUUGGGUUAAGUCCCGCAACGAGCGCAACCCUUAUCCCCAGUAGCCAGCAUUUCGGAUGGGCACUCUGUGGAGACUGCCGGGGACAACCUGGAGGAAGGUGGGGAUGACGUCAAAUCAUCAUGCCCCUUAUGAUCUGGGCUACACACGUGCUACAAUGGCGUAAACAAAGGGAGGCAAAGCCGCGAGGUGGAGCAAAUCCCAAAAAUAACGUCUCAGUUCGGACUGCAGUCUGCAACUCGACUGCACGAAGCUGGAAUCGCUAGUAAUCGCGAAUCAGAAUGUCGCGGUGAAUACGUUCCC